rnacentral:rRNA from 1 species
UACGAAGGGGGCUAGCGUUGCUCGGAAUCACUGGGCGUAAAGCGCACGUAGGCGGAUUGUUAAGUCAGGGGUGAAAUCCUGGAGCUCAACUCCAGAACUGCCUUUGAUACUGAGGAUCUUGAGUACGGGAGAGGUGAGUGGAACUCCGAGUGUAGAGGUGAAAUUCGUAGAUAUUCGGAAGAACACCAGUGGCGAAGGCGGCUCACUGGCCCGGUACUGACGCUGAGGCGCGAAAGCGUGGGGAGCGAACAGG